CCAGACUCCUACGGGAGGCAGCAGUGGGGAAUAUUGCACAAUGGGGGAAACCCUGAUGCAGCGACGCCGCGUGAGUGAAGAAGUAUUUCGGUAUGUAAAGCUCUAUCAGCAGGGAAGAAAAUGACGGUACCUGACUAAGAAGCCCCGGCUAACUACGUGCCAGCAGCCGCGGUAAUACGUAGGGGGCAAGCGUUAUCCGGAUUUACUGGGUGUAAAGGGAGCGUAGACGGCAGCGCAAGUCUGAAGUGAAAUCCCGUGGCUUAACCAUGGAACUGCUUUGGAAACUGUGCAGCUGGAGUGUAGGAGAGGUAAGCGGAAUUCCUAGUGUAGCGGUGAAAUGCGUAGAUAUUAGGAGGAACACCAGUGGCGAAGGCGGCUUACUGGACUGUAACUGACGUUGAGGCUCGAAAGCGUGGGGAGCAAACAGGAUUAGAUACCCCAGUA
rnacentral:rRNA from 1 species